rnacentral:rRNA from 1 species
GACGAACGCUGGCGGCGUGCUUAACACAUGCAAGUCGAACGGAAAGGCCCUGCUUUUGUGGGGUGCUCGAGUGGCGAACGGGUGAGUAACACGUGAGUAACCUGCCCUUGACUUUGGGAUAACUUCAGGAAACUGGGGCUAAUACCGGAUAGGAGCUCCUGCUGCAUGGUGGGGGUUGGAAAGUUUCGGCGGUUGGGGAUGGACUCGCGGCUUAUCAGCUUGUUGGUGGGGUAGGGGCUUACCAAGGCUUUGACGGGUAGCCGGCCUGAGAGGGUGACCGGCGACAUUGGGACUGAGAUACGGCGCAGACUCCUACGGGAGGCAGCAGUGGGGAAUAUUGCACAAUGGGGGGAAGCCUGAUGCAGCAACGCCGCGUGCGGGAUGACGGCCUUCGGGUUGUAAACCGCUUUCGCCUGUGACGAAGAGUGAGUGACGGUAAUGGGUAAAGAAGCACCGGCUAACUACGUG